rnacentral:rRNA from 1 species
UACGGGGGGGGCAAGCGUUGUUCGGAAUUACUGGGCGUAAAGGGCUCGUAGGUGGCCAACUAAGUCAGACGUGAAAUCCCUCGGCUUAACCAGGGAACUGCGUCUGAUACUGGAUGGCUUGAGUUUGGGAGAGGGACGCGGAAUUCCAGGUGUAGCGGUGAAAUGCGUAGAUAUCUGGAGGAACACCGGUGGCGAAGGCGGCGUCCUGGACCAACACUGACACUGAGGAGCGAAAGCCAGGGGAGCAAACGGG